rnacentral:rRNA from 1 species
UACGUAGGGUGCAAGCGUUAUCCGGCAUUAUUGGGCGUAAAGAGCUCGUAGGCGGUUUGUCGCGUCUGCUGUGAAAACUGGAGGCUCAACCUCCAGCCUGCAGUGGGUACGGGCAGACUAGAGUGUGGUAGGGGAGACUGGAAUUCCUGGUGUAGCGGUGAAAUGCGCAGAUAUCAGGAGGAACACCGAUGGCGAAGGCAGGUCUCUGGGCCAUAACUGACGCUGAGAAGCGAAAGCAUGGGGAGCGAACAGG